rnacentral:lncRNA from 1 species
AAAACACAUACUGAAAGGGGCUGUUUGGUUGCACGCAUUUGCAACUGCAGUGCAGUUGCAAAUGCGUGCAGCCUUAAUUCCUUUGUUUGGUUUAGUGUAGUUGAAUUCAACUGCUGCAGUUCCAACUACACAAGAAGGUCCAAAUGCUGCAGUUGGAACUACAUCCAAAUUGACCGUAGUUCCAACUGCAGCAGUUGGUGAGGGAUAGGAUCACCCACAAAUUAACAAUAAUAAAUAAAUAAAUAAAUAGCUAAAUAAAUAAAUAAUAUAUGUAUAUAGGUAAAUAAAAAUACUUGUAAAUAAACUCAUACUAAUAAAAUUUUUUAGACAAUACAAGCUUUGUGCAAAAAAUUAAAUUUUUUAAAUUUAUUUUAUUUAAAAUAUAAAUAUAGUUUUUUUAAAAAAAUUUUAUAGAAUGUGAUCGUGUAUGUUAAUUUAAUAAGUUUUAAUUAAUUAUAAUUAUUAAAUUUGAUAAAAAAAAUGAGAGAAUCGUUUAAAUUUUAAAGUUUGAUUUACAUAUUAAAAUUAAAUAAAUUAAAAAUUUUAAAUGUGUCGAUUAAUAAGUUGAAGAAUAUUAUAUAUAUCUACUUAUUUAUUUAUAAAUAGUAAAUUUAAAUGAUUAAUAAACUUAUACAAUUAUUUUAUGUUUAGUGAAAGUAAUCUCACCACUCUCUCUGAAAAUGUGAUAAAAUUCACAAAUACAACUAUCAGCUUCAUAUUACCAAACAGAAGAAAUGUAACUGCAGCAGUUGCAACUACGUAAAACCAAACAGACUAGGUGUAGUUACAACUACAGCAUUUGCAACUACAUGUAUUUCCAACUACACUGUUUCUGCAACUACAUCCAACCAAACAGCCCCAAAGAGCACCAUUACUCUACUAUUAUACUUAAUAUAAUAUCAACAUAAGGUAAUUAACUGGCUAAUUACCUUUUCCAAAUUUCAAUUUCAAUUUUUCCCUUAGCUCAGGGUUGAAGGAUCAUCUCCCAAUUCUGCCUCAAAAGUUACUAACCUGCUGUAAUUAGAUUUCAAAACUGCAUCACUACUUCACUUAUACACUUAGUAUAGGCUGAAAUUUUACUUGCAUAGAUUCUCAACUUGAAAUUGCACUUUCCUCAAGUUGAAAUAUAUUCACAAUCAGUUCACGAAAGCGUAUUAUUCAACUCAGAGUGAAUAUGCGAACUGCCGAGAACAUAGACCCCCAAAAUCAGCAUUACUACAUUUUAUAUCUCAUAAAGCAUCAAUCACGUAUUUAAUCAAUCAAUUACCUUCACACAGCUUCACUUUAGUUUUCCCCUGGGUAUAAAUAGAGGAAUUACAGCAAAAUUACCCUUCUCUAGCUGUUGAGACUAUUUCCCAAACCUGCUGAUAAUCAAGGAACCAAAACACAUCACCUUCACUCCCCUAGCUCAAA